UACGAAGGGGGCUAGCGUUGCUCGGAAUCACUGGGCGUAAAGGGUGCGUAGGCGGGUCUUUAAGUCAGGGGUGAAAUCCUGGAGCUCAACUCCAGAACUGCCUUUGAUACUGCGGGUCUUGAGUCCGGUAGAGGUGGGUGGAAUUCCUAGUGUAGAGGUGAAAUUCGUAGAUAUUAGGAAGAACACCGGUGGCGAAGGCGGCCCACUGGAUCGGUACUGACGCUGAGGUGCGAAAGCGUGGGGAGCAAACAGG
rnacentral:rRNA from 1 species